rnacentral:rRNA from 1 species
GACGAACGCUGGCGGCGUGCUUAACACAUGCAAGUCGAACGGUGAAGCUCCAGCUUGCUGGAGUGGAUCAGUGGCGAACGGGUGAGUAACACGUGAGCAACCUGCCCCUGACUCUGGAAUAAGCGCUGGAAACGGCGUCUAAUAUUGGAUACGAGAAGGGUCCGCAUGGGCACUUUCUGGAAAGUUUUUCGGUUGGGGAUGGGCUCGCGGCCUAUCAGCUUGUUGGUGAGGUAAUGGCUCACCAAGGCGACGACGGGUAGCCGGCCUGAGAGGGCGACCGGCCACACUGGGACUGAGACACGGCCCAGACUCCUACGGGAGGCAGCAGUGGGGAAUAUUGCACAAUGGGCGAAAGCCUGAUGCAGCGACGCCGCGUGAGGGAUGACGGCCUUCGGGUUGUAAACCUCUUUCAGCAGGGAAGAAGCGAAAGUGACGGUACCUGCAGAAGAAGCACCGGCUAACUACGUG